rnacentral:rRNA from 1 species
UGCAGUCAGAGCGGAAACGAGAUAUCUGAACCUUCGGGGAACGAUAUCGGCGUCGAGCGGCGGACGGGUGAGUAAUGCCUGGGAAAUUGCCCUGAUGUGGGGGAUAACCAUUGGAAACGAUGGCUAAUACCGCAUAAUAGCUUCGGCUCAAAGAGGGGGACCUUCGGGCCUCUCGCGUCAGGAUAUGCCCAGGUGGGAUUAGCUAGUUGGUGAGGUAAGGGCUCACCAAGGCGACGAUCCCUAGCUGGUCUGAGAGGAUGAUCAGCCACACUGGAACUGAGACACGGUCCAGACUCCUACGGGAGGCAGCAGUGGGGAAUAUUGCACAAUGGGCGCAAGCCUGAUGCAGCCAUGCCGCGUGUGUGAAGAAGGCCUUCGGGUUGUAAAGCACUUUCAGUCGUGAGGAAGGUAGUGUGUUUAAUAGAUGCAUUAUUUGACGUUAGCGACAGAAGAAGCACCGGCUAACUCCGUGCCAGCAGCCGCGGUAAUACGGAGGGUGCGAGCGUUAAUCGGAAUUACUGGGCGUAAAGCGCAUGCAGGUGGUGUGUUAAGUCAGAUGUGAAAGCCCGGGGCUCAACCUCGGAAUUGCAUUUGAAACUGGCAGACUAGAGUACUGUAGAGGGGGGUAGAAUUUCAGGUGUAGCGGUGAAAUGCGUAGAGAUCUGAAGGAAUACCGGUGGCGAAGGCGGCCCCCUGGACAGAUACUGACACUCAGAUGCGAAAGCGUGGGGAGCAAACAGGAUUAGAUACCCUGGUAGUCCACGCCGUAAACGAUGUCUACUUGGAGGUUGUGGCCUUGAGCCGUGGCUUUCGGAGCUAACGCGUUAAGUAGACCGCCUGGGGAGUACGGUCGCAAGAUUAAAACUCAAAUGAAUUGACGGGGGCCCGCACAAGCGGUGGAGCAUGUGGUUUAAUUCGAUGCAACGCGAAGAACCUUACCUACUCUUGACAUCCAGAGAACCUUCC